UGGGGAAUAUUGGACAAUGGGGGAAACCCUGAUCCAGCAAUGCCGCGUGUGUGAAGAAGGCCUUAGGGUUGUAAAGCUCUUUUGUCAGGGAAGAAACGGUGAGAGCUAAUAUCUCUUGCUAAUGACGGUACCUGAAGAAUAAGCACCGGCUAACUACGUGCCAGCAGCCGCGGUAAUACGUAGGGUGCAAGCGUUAAUCGGAAUUACUGGGCGUAAAGCGUGCGCAGGCGGUUUUGUAAGUCUGAUGUGAAAUCCCCGGGCUCAACCUGGGAAGUGCAUUGGAGACUGCAAGGCUAGAAUCUGGCAGAGGGGGGUAGAAGUCCACGUGUAGCAGUGAAAUGCGUAGAUAUGUGGAGGAACACCGAUGGCGAAGGCAGCCCCCUGGGUCAAGAUUGACGCUCAUGCACGAAAGCGUGGGGAGCAAACA
rnacentral:rRNA from 1 species